rnacentral:rRNA from 1 species
GAAAUGCGAUAAGUAAUGUGAAUUGCAGAAUUCAGUGAAUCAUCGAAUCUUUGAACGCACCUUGCACUCCUUGGUAUUCCGAGGAGUAUGCCUGUUUGAGUGUCAUUAAAUUCUCAAACCUCAAGAAUUCUUUUUUUGAGGCUUUGGAUAGGUGAGGGUUUUGCCGGUCCUUUAUGGAUCUGCUCCCUUGAAAUGCAUUAGUGGGUUACUUGGUCCGCUUUCAAUCGGUGUGAUAGUUAUCUACGCCUUUGGAAUGAUCAGCUUGCUUAUCUGCUUCUAACCAUAGUCUGCUUCAGACAACUUUUGACUUUUGACCUCAAAUCAGGGUAGGACUACCCGCUGAACUUAA